CCUACGGGUGGCAGCAGUGGGGAAUAUUGCACAAUGGGGGAAACCCUGAUGCAGCGACGCCGCGUGAGUGAAGAAGUAAUUCGUUAUGUAAAGCUCUAUCCACAGGGAAGAAAAUGACGGUACCUGAGUAAGAAGCCACGGCUAACUACGAGCCAGCAGCCGCGGCAGUACGUAGGGUGCGAGCGUUAUCCGGAUUUACUGGGUGUAAAGGGAGUGUAGACGGGGGGGCAAGUCUGGAGUGAAAGGCGGAGGCUCAACCCCCGGACUGCUCUGGAAACUGUACGCCUGGAGUGCAGGAGAGGUAAGUGGAAUUCCUAGUGUAGCGGUGAAAUGCGUAGAUAUUAGGAGGAACACCAGUGGCGAAGGCGGCUUACUGGACUGUAACUGACGCUGAGGCUCGAAAGCGUGGGGAGCAAACAGGAUUAGAUACCCGUGUAGUC
rnacentral:rRNA from 1 species